rnacentral:rRNA from 1 species
UACGUAGGGUGCAAGCGUUGUCCGGAAUUAUUGGGCGUAAAGAGCUCGUAGGCGGUCUGUUGCGUCGGCUGUGAAAACCCGGGGCUCAACCCCGGGCCUGCAGCCGAUACGGGCAGACUAGAGUUCGGCAGGGGAGACUGGAAUUCCCGGUGUAGCGGUGAAAUGCGCAGAUAUCGGGAAGAACACCCGUGGCGAAGGCGGCUCUCUGGGACGGUACUGACGCUGAGACGCGAAAGCGUGGGGAGCGAACAGG